GUGGGGAAUUUUGGACAAUGGGCGCAAGCCUGAUCCAGCAAUGCCGCGUGCAGGAAGAAGGCCUUCGGGUUGUAAACUGCUUUUGUACGGAACGAAAAGGCUCUGGUUAAUACCUGGGGCACAUGACGGUACCGUAAGAAUAAGCACCGGCUAACUACGUGCCAGCAGCCGCGGUAAUACGUAGGGUGCAAGCGUUAAUCGGAAUUACUGGGCGUAAAGCGUGCGCAGGCGGUUUUGUAAGACAGGCGUGAAAUCCCCGGGCUCAACCUGGGAAUUGCGCUUGUGACUGCAAGGCUGGAGUGCGGCAGAGGGGGAUGGAAUUCCGCGUGUAGCAGUGAAAUGCGUAGAUAUGCGGAGGAACACCGAUGGCGAAGGCAAUCCCCUGGGCCUGCACUGACGCUCAUGCACGAAAGCGUGGGGAGCAAACAGGAUUAGAAACCCCGGUAGUCC
rnacentral:rRNA from 1 species